AAAGAGGACUAGUGGUGGAGUCAUGAGGGAAGCUUAGGGCUUGCAGUCUUCAAGUUUUGCUUAAAUCCUCAUUCUUCCAUUCACUAGCCACUUCCUCUCCCUGAGCCUCAGUUUCUUCAUCUGUCAAAUGGGGGCACUAAUGUCUCCUGUAGUAGAUUGUAUGCAAAAAUGACUUGAAUGCUUUGCCUCCCUGUAUGCAAGCCCCUUUGCAAUGUGACUUUGGAACCCUUCCCAUCAGGAGAGAGAGUACUUCCUCUCCCCUUGAAUCUGGGCUCAGUCAUGUGACUUCUUUUGGCCAGUAGAAUGCAGCAAAGGUGACAUUGCCAGUUCCGAGCCUGGACCUUAAGAGGUCUUGUAGCUUACGCUCAUUCUCUUGGGACCCUCCCGGCUGUCAUGUGAACAUCCUGCUGAAGGAUGACAGACCACUGGAGCAGGAACGGGCUGUUGAGUUGUCGUAGCUGAGGCCAUGCCAGUCCGUCCCUGGCUGAUCCAACAGCUGACCACAGAUGAGUGAGUAAGCCCCACUGAGACCAGAAGAACCCCUAGCUGAGCCCAGCCCAAACUGCCAAUCCAGUGAAAUCACGAGCUAAAUAAAUGGUUGCUGUUUUAAGGCAUUAAGUUUUGGGGUGAUUCGUUAUGCAGCAUUGUUGGGUAAUACGCAGUUUUAUUCAGUGUUAUUGAUGGUAACUGCUGUGACAAACCGAAAAUCUCAAUGCCUUAACCCAGUCAGAGUUUCUUUCUCACUCACGCACAGUCUUAUAUAGGCCAGGACUCUCCUAACCCAUCUUCCUUGGAAGGCAGCUCUCUUUCAAGCAGUGACUCCCCCAGGCCCUCCCUGAGAUUCAUUCCUGAACCCUCUGCAUGUGGAAAGGAAGCCUAAAAAUCAAAAAAGGCUCACCAUCUCUUAAUUGCCUUGGGCCAGGGGUGACGUGUGAUUUCCUUGGCCAGAAGGUAGUCACAGAACCCACUAACUGCAGGGGAGGAUGAGAAUGUGCCCUUCCUGUGUGCCCAGGAUGAGGAAACAGGUUGGAGACCACAGAGCAUCACUUCUGCCACAUUCCUUCCCUCACCAAGCUGCCAUGAGGGGUCAGGCAGGGAAUUAACAUCUAUAGCAAACUGACUCCAGCAUCUAGAACAAGGUGGUUUAAAUAAGGGGCAAUUUGUAGGUGAAGAAUCUGAGGCUCAGAGAGGUUGAGGAAUUUGCCCCAAAUCACACAGCGAGCCAACUGAGCAGCUGUUUGUGGUAGUGAAGGGCUCAGGAUAGAUCUGAGAUUGGACAAGUCUAGCUGCAAAUCCCAACUCUGUCACUUUCUCACUGUGUGACAUUAGGCAAGUUACCCAAUUUCUCUGGGCUUCAGUUUCCUUAUCCACAAAAUGGGGAGAGAGGAAUAGUUCCCACCUCAUAGGGUUGGGGUGAGCACUGAGGAGCUUGUGUGUGUCAAGAGCUUAGCUUAGAUCCUGGGACCUGGGACCUGCUUAAUAAACAUGAGUCACCCAGGCAGACAUGAUGCUAUUUCUGAUCUUCCCUUGCCAGGGUCAGCAAAUUUAUUAUGUUUUGUACAAAUCCUGUCCCUUCCUCCUACCUCUUGUGGUGUGAAUGGUUUUAUUUGCUUGGUUAAGAGAAGAAAAUUUUUCCCUGGUUGGAUACUAGUCAGUCAACAAACCUUUACAGGCAAAAAGCCCCCAACAGCGAUGACUGUUCUGCUGACAGAGGUCUGAAAUGCCUCCAUGCCUGCUUCCUUUAGACUGAAGCUUGGCUCUGUGAGGUGCAUCCCCUGCCCAACUCACCUCUAGCGUUGUCCCAUAGCUGGGAAGGGGACAGGGCCAGAGGGUCUGGAGCUAAUGGGCUCCGGCUGGGGAAGGGCCAGGUCCAGAACAGAUCCUGCUGGGUGUGUCGUCUGUGCAGUCUGAAAAUUUCUGCCCACCCAGAAGGAAAGGUCCAAGAUGGAUGAGGGGUGGGUUCCCCUCCUUUCUCCCCCUCUUAACCCACCUCUGAGUCUCCCCUUGCAACCAGCCAGAGGUUCGUGAGCAUCCGCUGACACUUGGUAGGGCUCAUGGAGCUCACAGUCUGGAGGGCAAGACAGACUCAGCAAACAGCACCCCAGGUAAAGUUACCAUUACAGAUUAGGUGAGCUCUGUGAAGGAGGAGCCACGUGGCGCUGUGGGAGCAUGUACUGGGGGUCUACUUUAAUUUUUUUUUUCUUUGUGAGGAAGAUUCGCCCUGAGCUAACAUCUGUGCCAGUCUUCCUCUAUUUUGUAUGUGUGACGCCUCCACAGCAUGGCUAAUGAGUAGUGUAGGUCCACACCCAUGAUGUGAACCUGCACACCCUGGGCCCCGGAAGCAGAGCACAUGGAACUUUAACCACUUGGCCACAGGGCCAGCCCCCCUAAAUUAUUUUUAAAGUUUUGUCUUGACUAGAUAAUCCUGGGAGGUCAGAGAAUCUCUGGUCUCUCAUGAAAUAAUUAUGCUCAGAUCUGGAAAUUUGCUAAACAAAGGACUGAGUUGGUCUUGGGGUGAGGGUGGUGUUCCAGGCAGGAGGAACAGGCUGUGCAAAUGCCCUGAGGGAAGAACAACCUCUAGGAUUUCAUGGAGGACCAUAUGACUGGAGCUUGAAGGGUAAAGGAAGGAGUGGGGUGUGAAUGGGAAGGGAGAGGGGAGCAGGGGCCAGGCUCCCCGUGGGCAGGACUGGCUACAUAAUUUGUGGGGCCUGGUGCAAAAUGAGAACAUGAGGCCCCUUGUUCAAGAAUUAUUACGAAUUUCAAGAUGGUUACAGUAAAGCAUUAAAGCAAGCAUGGGGCCCUGUGCAACUGCACAGGUCGUACACCCAUCAAGUUGGCUCUGCCCAUGGACCAUAGUAAGAAGGAAGACUUCGCUGUGAGGGCCGUAGGGAGCCAUGGAAGGCUUUAGAGCUGGGGUGAUAAGAUCUGAUUUGCAUAAGCCAUAGUUGCUGUCUUACUACACCACACCUGGAUGGUAUUUGACUUUCUCCUCUCUGCACAUGUGGUCUGAUUCAUUUUCCUAAAAUAUUUUACUCAGAAUGUCACUCCCCUGCUCAAGAACCUGCAGUGGCUCCCACCUCCUAAUCAGAUCUAGUCCAAACUCCCUACCUACACACUCAAGGCCCUUCAUAAUUUCCCCUCACCUGAUUUAGUUAACCUGAUGUCAACAUAGGCUGUGUGCUGCAUGCCACAGAUGAUGAAUCCAGACCCAGGCUUGAGACUGCAGAGAACCAAAAAUGCAGAUUGCCAUGUGAAAUUUCCUGAUUUUUAAAUGUUAACGAUGAAUUCAAAAAGCUAUUAAGAAGCUGUGCAGGCCAGACACACAUGUCCAUGGGCAGGACCUGGCCUACCAGGCAGCCCCGGGGUGCGAUUGGGCUUGGUGAGCGCCUAGAGGUGAGCGUGAUGAAGACGAGUCAGGAAGGACCUAACUGCAUCCUGGAUUCUGGAACACCCUUGCCCUGGCAGAGAUGUGCCCUAGGUGGAACUCACUACCACAGGCACACAUUGAGCACCUACUGUGUGCAAGGCUCUGGGCUAGGUUGGGGAUACAAAGUACACUGUGAGGCUGCACCCUCCUCCAGGGCAGGGGUGGGCCAACUACAAGAGACCCGGGCUCCAGUCCUGACUUGCCCUCCUGCAAUUGCUCUGUGUCCUUGGGUUAGUGUGGUAUAGUACUAACUUUUUUGAGGAAGAUCAGCCCUGAGCUAACAUCUGCCGCCAAUCCUCCUCUUUUUGCUGAGGAAGACUGGCCCUGAGCUAACAUCCAUGCCCAUCUUCCUCUACUUUAUAUGUGGGACGCCUGCCACAGCAUGGCUUGCCAAGCGGUGCCGUGUCCACACCCGGGAUCCGAACGAGUGAACCCAGACGCCGAAGCAGAACAUGUGCACUGAACUGCUGCGCCACCAGGCCAGCCCCUAGGAAACAAUUUUGAGCGAACUAAAACAACGAGUUUGAGGGUUUCUCUCUUUCUACCUGGAAAUUUUUAUAAUCUUGAUACCACUUCUGAUCACCUUCCAACAAAGUCCCCUUUUGCUCAGGGUAAUCCAGGGAGGUUUCUAGUAUUUGAAAACGACCACUCCUAAUACCCAAAAGAAUUUUGCCUCCAAAAGUAGAGAAGGGUUACUCUUCCUCAGUCCUACCCCUUACCUUUGGACCAGUUCUUCCAGCCCCAACCAUCACAGCCUGGUUAGACCCACCUGCUUCUUAAAGGGACAAAGUCCCUUUUGGGAGACUUCUGAUCAUUUAAAUCUCCUUCAACAACACAGGAGUGGUGUUCAAACAUUACCCUGGGAAUUCUUCUUUGCCCUCUCUCAAUAUUUUCCCAGAAAGAGAGCUGAGGCUCCUUUCAGAGCGCCAUCCCUUGUUCUCCUCCCAGCCCCUCAGCUGUCUUGUGCAUCAAUUAGCUGGUGACUAAUUGCUCCCUAAUUGCAAAAUGACUGACGCACCCACACCAGGGACACGGGUCCAUGGGCAUCUUCCAGGGAAAGGUCUUUUGUGAGUCCCGGUGGUUCACUUGUUCCACAAAUGUGGGUUGAACCUUUUCUUUAGUGGCAGCUCUUGUUCCAGGGCCUGGGGACUCAGUGGUGAGCAAGACAGACAGAUUGUCCUGCCUUCAAAGAGCUCAGUCUAGCGGGAGCCAAAUAGCAACAGAUAAAUCAUGUCCGAUAAUAACUGCUAUGAUAAAAAAAAAAUUAGGGGCUGGCCCCGUGGCCAAGUGGUUAAGUUCAUGCGCUCCGAUGCAGGGGGCCCAGUGUUUCGUUGGUUCGAAUCCUGGGCGCGGACGUGGCACUGCUCAUCAAGCCACACUGAGGCAGCGUCCCACAUGCCACAACUAGAAGGACCCACAUCGAAGAAUAUACAACUAUGUACUGGGGGGCUUUGGGGAGAAAAAGGAAAAAAAUUAAAUCUUAAAAAAAAAAAUUUAAAAGGAUAACACAGUAUAGACUGCCAGGAGCUUCACAUAUGGGUGGCGGGAAGGCUUUCUACGGAGGUGACAUUUGAGUUGAGACCUGAAUGGUAAUUAGGAGACAACCAGAGUGAAGAUGAGGAGGAAGCACGGUCCAGGGAGAGAGCACAGGCCAGGGCAGAGGUCAGGUGGGAGGGACCAGCGUGGCCUGUCUGAGCAGCACUCACUGCAUCCACUCAGCCCCAGGGAUUCAGGAGUCAGCCAUCAGGCCGGAGCUGGUUGAGAACGGAGCAAACACCCCUCCCUGCCCUGUUGGCAGAGACUGGGGGCGGGGUUUACUCCUCCUGGCUCCGCCCCCAGAAGGAGGAAUUAUCCAUCUAAUUGGUCAGAUUCCAGGAUCCUGAUUGGUCUUUGGUGGUAACCCGGGGCUCUUUCUUCAAGGUCCCAGACUCCACAGAAACACCCUCCCCCCUUCCCCGGGGGCUUCCAACAGAGCCCCUUAGAGGGUUCACUUUAAAGGGAGUGGCUGCUGUGCUCUGGGAAGCAGUUCCUAAAAAGCUGCCCUUGGGGCACAGGAUGGGAACUGCAAUAUUGACUUGUGUCUGUAGGAGUUCCAAUGUCAUAUUUGAUCUUAACAAUGAUUUCGUACAAAGGACCAAAGAGAAACAGCCAAGCAAGGAGGGCUCCUGCCUCUAAAAAGGGUUGAAUUUAACCCCAGGAACAACUGUAACCGCUAAGUUUAGUGAGAACUGCUACUUAACUCGUACCUCCCUCUUGGUUCAUUAAACUCCUGUUCUCAAAUUAAAAGUGCUGUUGGGUUCGGAGGUUGGGUCAAAGGUGAGCUCAUUCAUUCACAUUAUGAAGUUGUUAAUUUGAAGUGUGCCCAUGUUAGAUCUCUCUGUAAGACACAAGUAUCCAUCUGGGCUGUUCAAUACUCUAUGGGGUUCGAGAGUUUCCUUUUUAGGGCCAAAGCAUUACUGGAGGUGGGCAAUUCCUACUGCUCUCACUUAUUUCUGCCAUGGGAGAAAGGAUCUCCCGCCUGUCACCACAGGUCCCAGGCAUCACUCGGCACCUUGAGGCAGCUCCCAAAAUUGCAGACAGAAGCUGUAGAAGGAAACUGUCAGUCUCUAUAGGGCUUGCCUUGUGUCUCCAAAACUUAUUAAAUGACAUCACAAGUAAGGCUUGGCAAAUAGGAUGUGGGAGUCCGGCCAGUGAGGGCAGACAGGAGCCUGAGGGCAUGGAUGCAGGAAGGAUGGAGAUUGAGACUGCCAAUAGGUGGAGGUGAGGACAGAGCUGAGCACCUCGGAAGGAGAAUGAACAAUACUAGUUAACAUUAGAGAACACUUUUCACAAGUGUGGUCCUCUUUUAUCCUCAGAACCCCUGACUGAUAAAGAAAACGGAGCCUCUGAGAGGUGAUGUGGCUGGCCCAGUCACAUAGCUAUCAGAGAUGGAGUAGGAUUUGAACCCACAUCUUGACUCUAGAGGCCAGGCUCUGAAGAGGCCAGGCUCUGAACAACCGUACAGUCACCCCGUUAUGGGGCCUCUGCUCCAGACCUCGGCUGCCUGCCUGACUCAGCAACUGUGGGUGGCCUCGCUUCUGUGCGUAGGCAGGAGAGCCAGCGAGAAGGCUCCCCGUUUCUUGGAAACCAAAUAUGGCCAGACCAGGCCCUCCAAGCUGACCCCUGAGCUGGGCUUGCUUCUGCCUGCUCAUCUGUGCUGUGGGGCCCUCCCCACUGUGUAACCUCCUGGCUCUGCCCUGGAGAUGCUGGGAGAGCCUCCAUUCAGACCCCUCUCCUAAUAGGAGCUUGUUGAGCAAGUUACUGAAAGAGAACAUGUGAGAUCAGUGUCUCAUCCAUGUCACAAUAACCAGCUCUUAUGCAUCCUUCAGUGCCCAGUGUGAGGUAUCAGGAAAAAUUACUUCCUGACUGGGUGACUUGGA
ensembl:lncRNA